UCAGACAUGGUGUAGUGGGAACACAGCCUCUUCUUCCGAGUGAGAUACCUCCACGUUCCACAGGCAAUCCAGGGUUUGAAUCCCUAUGUCUGAA